rnacentral:rRNA from 1 species
UAGUCCUAGCCGUAAACGGUGCACACUUGCUAUGAGCGGAUUCGACCCCGUUCGUGGCGUAGCUAACGCGUUAAGUGUGCCGCCUGGGGAGUACGGUCGCAAGAUUAAAACUCAAAGAAAUUGACGGGGGCCUGCACAAGCGGUGGAGUAUGUGGCUUAAUUCGAUGCAACGCGAAGAACCUUACCUGGCCUUGACAUGCUUGUGGUAAAACCCUGAAAGGGGAAUGACCUCGCAAGAGGAGCUUGCACAGGUGCUGCAUGGCUGUCGUCAGCUCGUGUCGUGAGAUGUUGGGUUAAGUCCCGCAACGAGCGCAACCCUUGUGUCCUGUUGCCACCCGAGCUUCGGCUCGGAGCACUCUGGACAGACUGCCUCGCUUAAACGAGGAGGAAGGGUGGGGGAUGACGUCAAGUCAGUAUGGGCCCUUACGGGCCAGGGGCUGCACACGUACUACAAUGCCUAAUACAAU